rnacentral:rRNA from 1 species
CCCUUAGAUGUUCUGGGCCGCACGCGCGCUACACUGACGAAUGCAACGAGCUUAUAACCUUGGCCGAAAGGUCUGGGUAAUCUCCAAAUUUCGUCGUGAUGGGGAUAGAUUAUUGCAAUUAUUAAUCUUCAACGAGGAAUACCUAGUAAGCGCAAGUCAUCAGCUUGCGUUGAUUACGUCCCUGCCCUUUGUACACACCGCCCGUCGCUCCUACCGAUUGAAUGGUCCGGUGAAGCGUUCGGACCGUGGCCUUUGGACGGUUCGCCGUCUGUUGGCUGCGGGAAGUUCGUUAAACCUUAUCAUUUAGAGGAAGGAGAAGUCGUAACA